UCUCUCUCUAAAAUCUGACGAUGAAAACCUUAGAAAAAAUCACCUAAUACAUGCUUCUAAAAUCUAUUUAUAGCUCCUAAUACCAAUGUUUUAAAAACCGGUAUAUACCGGCCGGUAAUACCGGUUACCGGAUGUUCAAGCGGUACGAAACUGGCCAGUAAUUUAUUGAAACGGCAUCCAAUUUAAACCGCCGGUAAGUUGCGAAAUACCGGUAUGAACCGGUGUACCGUACCGGCCCAAUUCGAUCAAAAUUCAGUCGAUAGUUCAACCCUUCAUCUUCUUCAACUCUGCACUUAGUCCUUUCCCUCAUUUGAACUGAUUAUGGAAGAUAACCAAACUGAGCCACAUGUUCAAUCAAGUUAUAGAUCAAAAUCAGAUAAAGCUUGGGACUUUGUAACUUGUCAAAAAGAUGAGAAAGAUAAGACGGUAUAUAUAUGUGAUUUUUGUCAAAAAAAUGGUGCGUGGUGGCGGUAUAACGAGAAUGAAGCGACACCUUGCGGGCAUUAAAGGUGAUAUAGAACCUUGUAAAAAGGUAACGGCGGAUGUUCGUUUUACUAUGCAAGGACAUCUUAAAGAAACUGAAGUUAAAGCAAAAGGUAAAUCUACUAACAUUGGAUCUAGUGUGGACGUCUUAGAUGACGAAGACGUUGAGGAAAUAAGUGACCAAGCACAAAAGGGAAAAAAGAGAGUAAAAUCAGAUGUGCAUCCUUUCUUUACAAAAACUACAAGCGAUCCUUCUCAACCUACUAUUAGAAAAGCUAUGCAAAGCAAAGAAAAGGUACAUGAGGUUAACUUGGCUAUUGCUAUGUGGUUCUAUGACGCAUGUAUACCUAUAAAUGCUUGUAAUUCUCCUUAUUUUCAACUAGCGGUAGAUAAAAUAGCAUCUAUAGGAUAUGGUUACAAAGCACCUAACUAUCAUGCUUUAAGGGUCAAUCUGUUGAAAGAUGCAAAAACAUCAGUUGGGCUAAUAAUAGAUUCAUAUAGAAGUGACUGGGUUGAAAGUGGUUGCACAAUUAUGAGUGAUGGGUGGCGGGAUAUUAGGCAUCGACAUUUGAUUAAUUUCUUAGUUUAUUGUGAGAAACGAAUUUCAUUUCUUAAAUCUGUAGACGCAUCUGAUAUUGAGAGCAAUACUGUGAAUUUGUGUAAUUUGUUUGCUGAAGUUACGGAAAUGGUUGGGGUUAAGAAUGUAGUUCAGAUAGUUACUGACAAUGCUGCUAAUUACAAGGCAGCUGGUAAAAUGUUAUGUGCAAAAUAUCCUUCAGUUACUUGGACACCUUGUGCAGCUCACUGUCUUAAUCUUUGGUUAAAGGAUGUUUCAGAGUUGGAGAAUGUUUCAAAGUUGGUUAAACUUGCAUCUAGGAUUACUGUUUUUAUUUAUAAUCAUAAGAUGCCGUUGAAUUGGUUAAGAAAAAGAGAGGGUUGGACAGAAAUCAUUCGUUCAGGUCCUACCCGGUUUGGUACGACCUUCAUUGCAUUAAAAAGUUUGGUAGAUCAUAAAAAUGACUUGCAAGCUCUUGUCAUAUCUAAUGAAUUUAAAAAGAUGUCAAAACUGGGGAAUGCAACUGAAUGUAAAGAAGUUGUGAUGAAUGAAACCUUUUGGAGCAAUUGUUUGAUUACUGUGACAGUAAUGGCUCCUUUGUUGAGGGUUUUGCGUUUGUGUGAUAUGGAUGAAAAACCUUCUUUGCCAUAUGUUUUUUAGGGGAUGAAUCAGGCAGAUAAGGGAUUUAAGGCAAUAUUUAAGGGAAAGGAAGAUUUGUAUAAGCCAUAUACAGAUAUAAUCGAUGCUCGAUGGAAAAAGAUGUUAUGUUCUAGUAUUCAUUGUGCGGCAUAUUGGUUAAAUCCAGCUUAUCAGUGUGACAAAGAAAAUCUUUAUAAAGGUAAAGAAGUUUUCAAGGGUGUUCUCGAAAUGGUUGAGAAGAAUUUUUCAGUUGAUGAGGUUAUAGAUAUUACGUCUUUAGGCAAGUUUCGUGAUGGCGAAGAAUGUUUUGGUAGGAGUAGUGCUGUUGCUUCUCGUAAAGCAAUUCAACCCGCCGAAUGGUGGAGAUUAUUUGGUGGAGAAUAUCCGUUAAUGCAAAACUUUGCCGUUCGAAUAUUAAGUCAAACCGCAUCUUCCUCCGGUUGUGAACGUAAUUGGAGUGUCUUUGAAAGGAUUCACACAAAAAAAAAAGAAAUCGGUUGGAACAUGAAAGACUAAAUGAUCUUGUGUUUGUUCAUUACAACUUGCGUUUACAAAAUAGACUCAAAUAUGCUAAAAGAUCCUAUGACCCAAUUGAUUGUAAAAGUAUUAGUCAUGCGGAAAUUUGGGUGGUCGAAGAAGAGCCGGCAGGAGAACUUCAUAACGAUGAUAUAGAUAACAUGUUUGGUGAGGAAGAUCAUGACCCGGUUUCUCAAACACAAUGUUACUUAUUAUAUAUGUCACUUAUCUUACGUAAGUUUAAUAUAUUAUGAUUAUUUGCAACUAAAACUUCUUAUUUAAUAAUGUAGAAACGAAAAUAGUUAUGCUCUAGUUGAUGAGGAUGGUGACGAUAGUGAAUUUCAUCUUUUAAGCGACCGGGAACUUGAUGCAUUCAACACUCCAAUGGCUUAAACUUUGUUGGAAAACUGAAUACUUUUGAAUCAUCUUUUUUGUUAUGGAUUAACUUUUGGAUUGUUUUUAAUUUGUUAUAAUG